GGGCGCCUGAUGGAGGCCUCGAGGCGCCAAGGGAGGAGCUACGCCUGGUGGCACUCCCUGCGGCCGCCGGAGCGCUGCAAGCUCGGCGGGGGCGGGGAGGGAAGCCGGCCGCAAGGAGGGGUGAGCCGCGAGGUCGCAGGAACCACCUAAUAAAAUAUUACAAGGGAGACCAGAGGAAGAAGGAAAAGGCAUUGGCUGUAAGUCUGGCUUUUGUCAUUGGCACCCAAGAAGUCUCGGGAGCCUGGAGAUGGGCAGAAUUGGUGGUAGAGAAGCAGCAGUGAUUCGUGGAUGCUCUCCUGAGCCCAGAGCUGGUGUGACCGUGACCCUGAGCCCACCAUGCUCUUCGAUGAGUCAGUACCUUUGCUCUGGCCAUUCUUCCUGCCUGCAGUGCUCUUUCCACUCUUCCUUACCAGGUUGUCUGCCAUUCCUCAUUAGCAGUUAGCUUUAGAGACAUUAUUUCUUUAGCUUAUUUUGUGUCAAAUACAGAGAUUUGUAAUUUUAUAGAUACAGGAGCUAAACCAAGCUUUGUAGACUAAUUUUCUCUUUCUAAGCUAGUGGGUUCUACACUGACUUUCUUCCAACAUUCUUCUGUGAGCAGCAAUGCGGUAUGCCAACCCAAUGUAUCUAAUCUUUCAGAUUUAGCUAAUACUUAAAUUGUGUAAUGUGAACAAAAAUACUGCAAUGUGAAUAAAAAUACUGCAACCAUAUCAGUAAACAAAGAAUGCUGAAACCAAGUCAUCAGGGGCUGCCGCCACCCCCCCAGCGAGGACAGGCCUGCAGCCAGCCUCUGCAGCCACUCACAAGAAAGGACAGGAUACUGGCCCUAGAUAGCCAGGUGCUUGUCAAAGGAAUGAAUUCAAUGAGCCCAAAUGUUUGCUUCCUCCCAUACAUAGAAAAGCACUAAAUUCUUUAACUUGAGAUGCCUGGUUUUCUUUAGAUAACAAGUAAUCUUUUAUUGUUCCAACUACCUGGUCUUUGUUGUAAAGCUCCUAUAUAUCCUAGCUCCUCCCCUACCUCUUUGGAGCAGUGCCUCAGAGCGAUCUGAGAGGCUGUCAUCCCGGCUCGAGUCCUCCCACCAAAUAAAACAUAACUCUUAAGUUUUAGGCUGCGCAUUUAUUUCAGUCGACAGUAACUACCAUUGAAGCUAAUAACGCUUAGUCUUCAUUUUGUUUGCAGACCACAAAGAACUCCACUGGUACUCUAAAAAUUAAAUAUAUAUAUAAAAUUAGAUUUCUAUCAUAAUUUUUACUAGUACUGUUUUUUAAAUGCUCUUUCAUUAUACCUAUCUCCCUGAACAUAACGCUGAAUACUCUUCUAGGCUUUGUUUCCUUGUAUUAUUUUGAAUCAACAUACACCUAAGAAAUAUUUAUUAGAUAACCUGUGACAUUGUACUAAGUACAGUCUUUAAAGGAAACUGUCUCCCAAAUAGUGGCUGUAGAGUUGGGUUUUAAUCAUUCUGAGACAGGAAGGGGGCAGGACACAGCCAUUCAAGGAAUAACACAGCAAGUAACACCAGAGUGGCGAAUGAUUCAACCCCCUGUAGGCCUUGAGGCUCAAGAUGGUGGGAGAUUUGACUUCUUGUAGACCUUGAGCUUCAUUAUACACCCAUUUUAAUAUAUUAACAUGGUGAAUAACGUGCCCACAGGCGCCAUGGCAGUCCCAAGGCUAGCCACAAAAGGUCAAAGACAGGGAAAUGGCCAACUUCCUGGGAAUCCCAGCCCCUUACCCAGGCUGGUUAGACUGGUCCUCCCACUUAUUAGCAUAUGAAGCCACUGAGCCCAUAAAAACUGGCAACAUGGCGCCUAUGGCCGCCCCCUCUGAGACGGCCCGCUCUCUGUCUAUGGAUUGUGUACCUACUUUUACUCUAAUCUGAGCACCCAACCCCCAUACCUCGUGGCCUUUCUCUUGCCUUUUGAUGUAUCUCUAAAUAAAUCUACGUUUACUCAA